GCGGUCGCCCCUUAAGAGUUAACGGAGCGCUCAAAGGUUGGCUCGAUUGUUGGAAAUCACUACGUUAGAGUGUAAGGUAAAACCAGCUUGACUGCGAGGCUACACUCGAGCAGGUAUGAAACUAGACGUUAGUGAUCCGUGGUAACCGCAUGGAAGGGCCAUCGUCAGGGAUAAAGUUACCCUGGGGUAUAACAGGCUUAUCUCCCCCAAUUAGUUUUCACAUCGCGGGGAGGUUUGGCACCUCGAUGUCGGCUCGUCGCUCCUGGCUGUAGUCCGGUCCAAGGUUUGGGCUGUUCGCCCCAUUAAAGCGGCCAGCGAGCUGGUUCAGAACGUCGGAGACGUUGUCCCUAUCGUCCGCGGGCCGUACGGAUAAUUUGGAGGAUCUGUCCUUAUACGAGAGGGACCGGGAUGGACUUACGCUGGUGUACAGUUUCCGCCAGGAGCAGGCUGACUAGUAUGUAGGGAAGGGAUGCGCUGAAAGAUCUAAGGUGCGAAGCCCACCUCAAAGAUGAGAUUAACCCUUCGUAAGAAUUAGGCCCAGAGAGAUGAUCUGGUAGACUGGCUGGAAGGGAAGAGUUGCGAGACUUUGGGCGGACCAGUAUAAUCGCUCGAGGGACUUUACCAAA
rnacentral:rRNA from 2 species